rnacentral:rRNA from 1 species
CCUACGGGUGGCAGCAGUGAGGAAUAUUGGUCAAUGGGCGCGAGUCUGAACCAGCCAAGUCGCGUGAGGGAUGACGGCUCUAUGGAUUGUAAACUUCUUUUAUAAGGGAAUAAAGUGUGGGACGUGUCCUAUUUUGUAUGUACCGUAUGAAUAAGGAUCGGCUAACUCCGUGCCAGCAGCCGCGGUAAUACGGAGGAUCCGAGCGUUAUCCGGAUUUAUUGGGUUUAAAGGGUGCGUAGGCGGCUUGUUAAGUCAGCGGUGAAAGUCCGGGGCUCAACCACAGAAUUGCCGUUGAUACUGGCGGGCUAGAGUAUAGUUGCGGUAGGCGGAAUGCGUGGUGUAGCGGUGAAAUGCUUAGAGAUCACGCAGAACACCGAUUGCGAAGGCAGCCUACCAAGCUAUGACUGACGCUGAGGCACGAAAGCGUGGGGAGCAAACAGGAUUAGAUACCCCAGUAGUC